rnacentral:rRNA from 1 species
GAUUCUGGCUCAGGAUGAACGCUAGCUACAGGCUUAACACAUGCAAGUCGAGGGGCAGCAUUGGGGUAGCAAUACUCAGAUGGCGACCGGCGCACGGGUGAGUAACACGUAUCCAACCUGCCGCUUACUCGGGGAUAGCCUUCGAAAGAAAGAUUAAUACCCGAUGGUAUAAAGAGUUCGCAUGUUCUCUUUAUUAAAGAAUUUCGGUAAGCGAUGGGGAUGCGUUCCAUUAGAUAGUUGGCGGGGUAACGGCCCACCAAGUCUACGAUGGAUAGGGGUUCUGAGAGGAAGGUCCCCCACAUUGGAACUGAGACACGGUCCAAACUCCUACGGGAGGCAGCAGUGAGGAAUAUUGGUCAAUGGACGAGAGUCUGAACCAGCCAAAGUAGCGUGAAGGAUGACUGCCCUAUGGGUUGUAAACUUCUUUUAUAAGGGAAUAAAGUGAGGGACGUGUCCCUUUUUGUAUGUACCUUAUGAAUAAGGAUCGGCUAACUCCGUGCCAGCCGCCGC